rnacentral:rRNA from 1 species
GACGAACGCUGGCGGCGUGCUUAAAACAUGCAAGUCGAACGGACUUCUCAUGAAGCUUGCGAUUGAGAAGUUAGUGGCGGACGGGUGAGUAACGCGUGGGCAACCUGCCCCUGAGCCCGGGAUAACAGUUCGAAAGGACUGCUAAGACCGGAUAUACUUGCGGUGAAGCAUUUCACUGCAAGGAAAGGGAACGCUCAGGGAUGGGCCCGCGUCCCAUUAGCUAGUUGGUGAGGUAACGGCCCACCAAGGCGACGAUGGGUAGCCGGCCUGAGAGGGUGAACGGCCACACUGGGACUGAGACACGGCCCAGACUCCUACGGGAGGCAGCAGUUGGGAAUCUUCGGCAAUGGGCGCAAGCCUGACCCGAGCAACGCCGCGUGAGUGAUGAAGGUUUUCGGAUUGUAAAGCUCUGUCUUCCGGGACGAUAAUGACGGUACCGGAGGAGGAAGCCACGGCUAACUACGUG